rnacentral:rRNA from 1 species
AUUGAACGCUGGCGGCAGGCCUAACACAUGCAAGUCGAGCGCGAAAAGCUUUCGGGCUGAGUAGAGCGGCGGACGGGUGAGUAACGCGUAGGAAUCUACCUGGUAGUGGGGGACAACUUGGGGAAACUCAAGCUAAUACCGCAUACGCCCUAAGGGGGAAAGCGGGGGACCUUCGGGCCUCGCGCUAUCGGAUGAGCCUGCGUAGGAUUAGCUAGUUGGUGGGGUAAAGGCCCACCAAGGCGACGAUCCUUAGCUGGUCUGAGAGGAUGAUCAGCCACACUGGAACUGAGACACGGUCCAGACUCCUACGGGAGGCAGCAGUGGGGAAUAUUGCGCAAUGGGCGAAAGCCUGACGCAGCCAUGCCGCGUGUGUGAAGAAGGCCUUAGGGUUGUAAAGCACUUUCAAUUGGGAAGAAAAGUUUGUCGUUAAUAGCGGCAAGCUCUGACAUUACCUUUAGAAGAAGCACCGGCUAACUCCGUGCCAGCAGCCGCGGUAAUACGGAGGGUGCGAGCGUUAAUCGGAAUUACUGGGCGUAAAGCGCGCGUAGGCGGUUUGUUAAGUCAGCUGUGAAAGCCCCGGCUCAACCUGGGAACUGCAGUUGAUACUGGCCGACUAG